GACGAACGCUGGUGGCGUGCUUAACACAUGCAAGUCGAACGGAAAGGCCCUGCUUUUGUGGGGUGCUCGAGUGGCGAACGGGUGAGUAACACGUGAGUAACCUGCCCUUGACUUUGGGAUAACUUCAGGAAACUGGGGCUAAUACCGGAUAGGAGCUCCUGCUGCAUGGUGGGGGUUGGAAAGUUUCGGCGGUUGGGGAUGGACUCGCGGCUUAUCAGCUUGUUGGUGGGGUAGUGGCUUACCAAGGCUUUGACGGGUAGCCGGCCUGAGAGGGUGACCGGCCACAUUGGGACUGAGAUACGGCCCAGACUCCUACGGGAGGCAGCAGUGGGGAAUAUUGCACAAUGGGCGGAAGCCUGAUGCAGCAACGCCGCGUGCGGGAUGACGGCCUUCGGGUUGUAAACCGCUUUCGCCUGUGACGAAGUGUGAGUGACGGUAAUGGGUAAAGAAGCACCGGCUAACUACGUG
rnacentral:rRNA from 1 species